ACACACAUAGACUCAUCGGAGGCAUGCUAAUUAGAAGCACACGAUAGUCAUUAGAGGCGUACACAUAAACACGUUAUUAUAGGUUGAUGUGUGUACUAUUCCAUAACAUGCAUUUAUCCGAUUUUGAGGAUUUCGUUGAUUGAUUUGAUUUCGUUUCCUCUGACCUCUUUACUUCCUCUAGUGACUUCAUUUGAUGAUAUUCUCUGGUGACUUCCUCUAGUGACUUCAUUUGAUGAUAUUCUCUGGUGACUUCAUCUGGUGGUAUCCUUUGGUCGUAACCUCUGAUUUUCCUGUUCUAAUUUAUGCAUAUUUCUUGAAAUCAUUAGUGCAAUAAAUUAUUCUUACAAAG
rnacentral:lncRNA from 1 species